CCCGCACAAGCGGAGGAACAUGUGGUUUAAUUCGAUGAUACGCGAGGAACCUUACCUGGGCUUAAAUGGGGAGUGACAGCUGUCGAAAGAUGGUUUUCUUCGGACACUCUUCAAGGUGCUGCAUGGUUGUCGUCAGCUCGUGCCGUGAGGUGUCGGGUUAAGUCCCAUAACGAGCGCAACCCUUACCGUUAGUUACCAUCAGGUUAAGCUGGGGACUCUAGCGGGACUGCCACCGUAAGGUGAGAGGAAGUGGGGAUGACGUCAAAUCAGCACGGCCCUUAUGUCCAGGGCUACACACGUGUUACAAUGGCCGGUACAAAGGGCAGCUACUUCGCGAGAAGAUGCUAAUCUCGAAAGCCGGUCUCAGUUCGGAUCGAAGUCUGCAACCCGACUUCGUGAAGCUGGAUUCGCUAGUAAUCGCGCAUCAGCCAUGGCGCGGUGAAUACGUUCCCGGGCCUU
rnacentral:rRNA from 1 species